UUUAUAAGACAAAUAAUCGAAGAACGAUCUCGUACAACAUUCUCCCGAACUUGUACGAAUGAAUACAAAUUUAAUGAUGGUAGGUAUAUACAAAGAGAAAAGAAAAAAGUAAAAGCCCUAAUUUCUGGACCAUUUCUGAGUUUGCGAAGAGCCGACUUUUCACCUUCCAUGAACAAUCUCCAUCUCCCGAAGGUAAUCUUAUUCGUUGUUUAUCCAUUUCUUCAAUCUUUUCCUGCCGAUUUGGGUUAGCGAUAUCGUCGAUUAGGGUUUCUUAUGUUUCUGCCUUGAUUCGAUUGUUAGUCUGUCUAGUUAUCAUCAGCAAGACGAACGCGUAUUAAUCAGCGUUUCGGUAUUGUUUGCAUCUCUUCCUUUAGGAUGGUAAUCUCUUUGAAUCGGCUGACUAAGACAGCUUUACCUGCUAUCGAGUAUGUUUCUUUCGAGGCAGAUUUGUGGAAGUUUGAAUUAUUUGUCGAGGAGCAGUUAUUCAAAUAUCGGGAUGUCUUCUAGCAAUUCGAUCGAAUUCCUUAUCAAGUGGUGGAUGGAGAAAUUUUUGCGUGGGUAUGAGAGUAAUAAUUAGGGAGAUCGAGGAAGUAUGAGACUCUGCAUAGUUGCUCUGAGAUUUAACUAUGUUAUACCCAAAAGUUAACUGCUGGAGUUUGAUAAGAGUUUAUUUUGCUGGGUGUCAUCUGAUCCAAUCUCGAGGCGUGGACCAUCUAAACUUUUGUAGUUAAAUUUUUAACACAAGAACUUCUUAGGGCAUGCAGGAUUUAAGAUUUGGAUUCGGGUAUUAUUAUAUUUUUCAUGAUUAAAGCUUGCUGCAUCGCUACUUUCUGUAGUCUUGGCUUCAGUUUAAUUGAUUAUUUCGACUCAAUGUCGGUGUGUAAGCUAUCUUGUAUGUUGAAUCCUUUCGAGGAUUACUAAUGUAUUUGUAUCCAUACAGUGCAGAAUUUGAAAGUGAUGCCUGAGAUUUUAGUGAGAAUUCUGCGUUGGAUUAAAGUGAUAAAAGAUGAAGAAAAUUUAUAAAGACACUUGAGAUAUUGGAAGAAUGAUGGCCGUACCAGAAAGUGAAGAGGUGCCAUGAUAUUUUUCUUUGCUGUUUAUGUAUUUUGAAGAUCGUGCAAGUGUUUUUUAUGGUUAUAAUUAUUGUCAGUAAAUGUUGUAUUGGCACUUGGUAGGUUGUUUUUAAGCACAUUGGGUUUUCAGGUAGUGAUUAUGAUGCAAGUCUCCCUAUCAAAAAAAGAAGAUUCUCGGUUAUACAGCCUCCUCCGUUUCCAUCUAAAGAUAUAUCUCCAGAUGGGAAUUUAACGAAGACUGAACAGCUAUCUCCACCUAAAGGCGUAUCUUUGUUUCAUACCGAUGAAAAUUUAAUGAAGAGUGAACGGCCAAGUCUAUCUGUGACAAUAGUUUCAAGUUCUAGUGCAAUCACAAGUCCUAGGUUGUCCAACAAGAUCCAGGAUUGUGCUUGUGACGAGAACGAAGGAAAAUCUGAUACUGAUUCAUGUUAUGGGGCUAUAGUCCAGAAUGAUAUUGGAAUAACAGGAGUGAAGUUUCAGGAACCCAUUUUGGGAGGGCGUGCUUGUUUUCAUAGUUAUGUUGAACGCGAAGAUAAGUCCUUGAUAACCGAAAAACACACAGUUCAUGCAUUAACAGAAAUCUGUGUGGGGAUGGAGUUAUCAUCAACUAACCUCAACUCUGACCUUCUUGCUGCUAACAAUGAGGAAGAAAUUGAUGUAAAAGUUGAAGGAGGUAUCAGUAGGUUUCAAGGAACAUAUGAAUCUGAAAUUGAUUCCUGAAAAGAGUGAUUUGAAUUUCCUGAAGCAGAAUUCUUUGGAACCUGUGUUACUGGACUUGUCUUUAAACAAACAAGGAAGUAACGCCCAUUGUACUGUGGGGUCUGAUUAUGAUUGUUCUCUUCAGCAGUCAAUUAGGGAAAAUUGGGAUCUGAAUACCUCAAUGGAGUUUUUGGGAAGGCUGUGCAAGUGAUGACCAUCGAGUGCAAGCUUCCAGUUGUUCAUGCAGACACAAUUGUCUCUACAUGUAGAUGCUUAACUGAAAUGGUGAUGACUGAUAUUCUGUCAGGAAAACUAACCCCUUUGGAUCAGGGUGAUCAUCUUCAUCUAAGUCUUAGUUCAUCUAAUCUUAGUCAUGUAUUGAGUCAGGAACAAAGUCCAUUGUCCAAGUUAGACAUAAGAAAAACAAAUCCUUUUUUAUGCUUACCUGGCAGAGGGUAUGCAGUUUGAUGAUCUUGAUGGUGCACGGCCGAUAAUGGACUUGGACUAUCAGAUGGUGCUGCAAUGAAGCAUGAAUUAGAUGAUCAAUGCAGUCUUGAAAUUCCCAACACGUUAGAUAUUUGUAGUCCAAUGAACAUAGUUAAGGCUAAAUCUGAAUCAGUUUAUGUAAGCAAACAGAGAGCACACGAGGCAUUAGGGAGUAGAUUAGAACUGGUUGGUAAAGAAGUUCUUCCAGUUGAUAAUUCUUGUCCUAUAGCAAUGCCUUUUGCGGCAGAAAUGCCAGAAGCAGCUGAAAAUCCUUGUUCAACUGAUUUGAUUACUUGAUAGGAAACUGCCCCAGGACAAAUGUGUUUGUAGUGGUCGACUUAUUAUCAACUCCGAAAUGACGGAUGUAAGCAAGGAUUCAGGUUCCAAAGAUUCAUGUAGUUCUGUUAUAAAACUAUCCGCUGUUGAAGAUGAAAAUCAGAAUAUUCCGAGAGCAUCCCUUAAAAGUUGUGAAUGAUCAGUACGCUAGUUUGCAGGGAGGUGAGGAAAGUUCUGUGAGUAAUGAGGAAAAGAUCCUAUAGUCCUGAAUAUGAAUCAGAUGGAAAGCGGGAUGUGAAUGAGGCCAUGAAUGCACUAGAUAAUGAUAUAGAAGAAGAUUAUGAAGACGGAGAGGUUCGGGUACCGAUAUUUAAAACUCGAGUAGAAAGCAGUGUAUAUAGAAAGCCCUAGAUAAUGGACUUGUUGAAGAGAAUACCAGUAGGGGUGUGCUUGAGCGAGGCCAACAAAGCUAUAAAAGCCACAGGUACAAGGCAAUUCUUUCAGUGUGAGAAAAUAGAUGCCUUGGAGGCCCAGGAAAUUGCUUCUGAGAAAGCUACUAAUGGAAUUGAAGAACCAAUAGUGAAAAAUUUUCAUAGUUUGAUGCAGAGAAUGUUAAACCUGUAGAUUUAGUACAAAACGAUGAUCUAGCUUUGCCGAACGUUAAGACGUUAAAUAAUGAUGAUGUGACUGAUGAUUUUACUAAUCGCAGCGGAGAUAGCCAGUUGGUUAAUCCGUGACAAGCUUCUUCAUCUCCUAGUGAAACAAGAUCUAAUUUAGCGAGGUCGGUUUUUACACAAUCUGAUAGGGGGAACAAAUACCCGACAUGGCACAUGAAGGGGGAAAAUUACAAUCUCAAGGAAGGUGAUUAUUUCUUAACUGCACUAAAAUUGCACUGAUUGCUUCCUGCAUUGCUGAUUUCUAUCACCCCGAACGAAUUUUACUGGUAGAAUAGAUGCAAGAAUCUAUCAGCCCGAACGAAUUUUACUCGUAGAAGAGGUAGAUUCACUAUUCAGAUAAACCAAGGUGACUGAAAUUUUAAUCCAGGAGUUCACAAUGAUCAAAUUCUACCAUUUGAUGCAUACCUGCUGUUUCUGAUGGUGGCAUUGAUCAAAACCACUAUAAAAUUAAGCCCGAGGGUCCGUUUUGUAGUGCUGGUCAACAGGGUAGACAAAUAUUAGAUGAUGAAAUCCCCCUUUGUGAUAUACCCUCUAGGAGGAGGUCACCUGAUAUAAGAGGAGGACCUCGGAUACGAGGUGUUAAAAUGGUGCACAGAACACCUAGAAAUAUCAGUCUUAAGUCGAUGCAUUCGUUAACCUGGGUCCGAAUCAGUUGGACUGCAACACGGUGAAACGUUUACGAGGACUUUUGAAGAUGAGACCAUGGAUCCAAUAUACGACACCCUCAACCUCGAUUUGUGAAGUAGAUAGGAACUUUCCUAUUCAAAGGAAAAGUUUUCCCAGAGUUGGUUCUAGAUCUCCAGGACGGUUUAGAGGACGCCCUCCUGGCUAAUGGUUUCCAUCCAAAAGAAAGUCCGACAGGUUUUUUGGACAUUCAGAAAUGGCUCAUCGAAGUCCGACAUGUUACAGGAUGAGAUCUCCUGAUCAAUCUCCACCUAUUGAUUGAGAUCUGCCAAUUCGAAGACGGGGUUUCUUAGUUUCGCCACUGCCUUGGUAUGGAUUUUUCUCGUGACCACGAACAUAGGAACUGAACUGACAGAAUCUCCUUUAGAAACAGGAGGUUUGAAGAUAUGGAUCCUCAAGAUAGGAUAGAGGGCGGUGAAUACUUGGAUGGGUCUGUCGAACUGACUUUGAUGGCAACGGUGACGAUCGAAGAAGGUUUCAUGAAAGAUAUGAACAUCAAAGACACGAACAUUGUUACCCGUUGCCAGCUGCAAUGUAACAAUCCUGAUGGUAAAGAUUAUCGUAACGGUAUUAUGGGCGAAAGGCCCCAAUACUGUGCUGAUGAUGAACGAGGUACGUUUAGGGUGAGGGAAUUUGAUUUACCUAGACAAACAGGUAUGAUGAAGAGCAUGGAGUUGAAGAUUAUAGACAUGCUCGACAGUCGUGGAAUGAACAUACUAGGUUCAGGUCAGUCGGGUUGAAAUAUUUGCUAGACCCAAUAUAAUUGUUUGAGUUGACUCAACGUAGUUGUUCUGAAAACAUGUUAGAUAAAUAAAUACAAA